GAUGAAUGCUGGCGGCGUGCCUAACACAUGCAAGUCGAGCGGCAGCGAGUUUUACACUGAAUUCUGGAAGCUUCUGAGUAGUACAGAAGAUUUAUUCAAGAGUUUUGUGUAAAAUGUCGGCGAGCGGCGGACGGCUGAGUAACGCGUAGGAAUUUGCCCCAAAGUGCGGAAUAACUGCCCGAAAGGGUAGCUAAUGCUGCAUAUGGUCUUCGGAUUAAAGCCUUCGGGCGCUUUGGGAGAAGCCUGCGUUGGAUUAGGUAGUUGGUAGGGUAAUGGCCUACCAAGCCGACGAUCCAUAGCUGGUCUGAGAGGAUGAUCAGCCAGACUGGAACUGAGACACGGUCCAGAGUCCUACGGGAGGCAGCAGUGAGGAAUCUUCCACAAUGGGCGAAAGCCUGAUGGAGCAACGCCGCGUGAAGGAUGAAGGCCUUCGGGUUGUAAACUUCUUUUAUGAGUGAAGAAUAUGACGGUAACUCAUGAAUAAGCACCGGCUAACUACGUG
rnacentral:rRNA from 1 species